UACAAUAAUACAAUAUGUUACUGAAACGGAAGUAAGCUGUUACUUCAGUCUAUAAGACUUAUAUACAUGUUGGCUGAAGAGGGGCUUAAGAGCCCGAAACGUGUAAAAUGUUCACACGUAUCAACUAAACAAAGAUGAGAAAACCCGCCAAGUGUCUUAAUUUAUAGCACUUUAUUGUGUUAGAAGAAUAAAUACCUGAUUUAUCAAAUGAAUCAAAGAACCUUGAAUUAUAUUUAUGAUGAUGUUAUUUCAUUUCUGAUGUACGAUUUUGAUCCAUUAUGAUAGCAUCACCACUAUAAAAGGAGAUAUUAAAUCCAUAAAAGAAUCUAAGUUAGAUAUAUCCAAUCCGAUUGAACCUCAUGCUGAUAUGUAAUCUUUAUUAAUAUUAAGAUCAUCAUUUUUAAUCAAAAUGCUAGGAAAUAAAAUUAUUCAUUAUACUAUCUAUAAAUUGCACAGAUAGUGAGUCAAAGUAUUAAUUGAAUAUCAAAAGCAUGUAAUUCUUGGCUAAUUCAUUCCAUCUUACAAAUAUUAAAAUAAAUAUCCAUUAUUUUAAUUAAAUUCAAAUUACUUAAAUUUUUCAGUAUGUCCAUAUGGUUUCUAUGGUGUAAAUUGUGUUAAUCAAUGUGAUUGUGGUAAUGGAAGCUUUGUUUGCAAUCCUGUUGUGGGUUGUAUCUGCAGAAGAGGGUAUUCAGGAGAAAACUGUGAUAUUGCUGAAACUUAUUCAGAAACGCAAGCCGUGAUACAAACUCAUACUUCAAAUACAAACAUUGGAUUUAUUAUUGGAAUUUGCAUCACUGUUCUGUUAUUAAUUAUCAUAAUUGUUAUAGUUCUGUACUAUAAAAGAAAAGUCAGGAAAUUGAAAAAAGAUUUGUCGUAUGCGGCUUAUAGCGUCGAGCCUCCAAUAGAUAACAAUAGCCACUUUGAUAACCCUUUGUAUGGAAAUCAAGAAUAUAAUGUGCCAAAUAACAUUGUCGAAACGGGGGAGAAUAAAACUUCCGAAAAGAAGACAAACAACAUCGAGAAAGCAAAAUGUUACGAGGAAGAGCGGCGUGAAUCGACUACAAGUA